ensembl:lncRNA
UGAUUGCAGUGCGUUACCCAAUUUAGUCUCAGAGCUCUCUCUUAAGCUUCACAUCAUUCAGCUUAAUUUUGUAAGUUGCCAAUAGUAGAAGACUAAAUAGGAGGAGAACUCAGCUAGAUUCUGCGCAAAGGAAUGGAAAUAUUAUUGAUUUUUCACAACAGCCAUCAACCAGAUUAACGAAAAAUAUUCCUCCCAGAAUCAAUAUUUAGGUAUACUAAAUGUGUUGAAGGGGGUGUGAAAAAAUUAUAUAAGGCAGUUUAAAAACACAAGGUUAGACUAUAUUUUGGAAAUAAAACCAACCAAACAAUAAACCUAAAACAAAAUGGAAGAUCUUGCAUGUUCUCUUGCUCCUAGCUGAUACUUUUGGAUAAAGAAGAAUAUAUGUGAAAACUGUGAUGUUGCCUGCUACAGGAUCAUGUUUGCUCUUUUAAUAUACUAACUUCCUGUUGCUUUCUUUAGUGGAAAAAAAUUAGUCUCACAUUAUUGUUUGGGUUUUUUUUUCCUGAACAAGAUGAAAGUAGAUGUUAAAGAAUCAAGGAAAUAUUUUCAUUUAGACUAUCAGGAUAACCAGAGAGGAAACAAUAGAUAUCAAAUAUAAAAUACAAGAGGCAAAAACCAUUGUAUAGGAACUGUUGAAUCACAGCCCAAACCUCUGAUUGACCACCUGAGGCAAGCACUGAGUCAGCCACAGGAGCACAGGUGAAUGCAAUUCAGCUGUGUGACCAGAAGGGGUGGAGCCAGACUCCAUCUCUCCUAGACCCCAUUUAAGGGCUGACUGCCACUAAGGAAGGAUCUCUUCCUGGAGAUUGCUCCUUGUGGAGUUUUCUCUGUGAGCCUACAACACCGGUUUCGAUUUAUUACCCUGAGUAAUUCCAUUUCACUCAGUGAGUCUGAUCACAGUAACAAAACAACAGAUGUGGGAGACUACUGAUGUUUUUCUUUUCCACAAUCAGAAUCGCUGUGAAGCUAUCCGCGUGUUUGAUCUUCAUCGCUGCCUUGCUGCUCCGUUUGGCCACCCAGCUCCUGAAGCAGUGCCAAGAACAUAGUGUUGAAAUGUGUUGGAGAUUGGAAAGGGAGAGGAGAGAGUCCUGUAUCGGUCAUCAAGAAAAAUCAGCUCUAGGAUGCUCGAAGAGAUGCUUCAGUUUUGAUCAGCAUAAAAGAUAUUCUUUUUCCUUUAGCCUAAAAUACAGUGACCUAUGGAUACAAAGUUUGACUGAAUGAUGAACUGUAAGGGCAAUAUAUUUUAUUUCUUUAGUCCAGCUCUUACUGAACUGGUAAUAGUUAAGUAUUUUGGAUUCAUCCGAACAAGAUAUUACUUUUCCAGUAAACUGAAUGAAUGAAGUGAGAUUCACCCCAACUGCGUGAACGCGUAUAUUCAGCUAUACAGGUUUAAAAACAAAAAUAAAAAGCAGUUUCCCAAGCGGGGAUAGAUUUAUUUUCCACAUGUGUAGGCCGGUGCUGACACCUGCUGGCUUUAUUGCUGAGUGAUUUCAUAGUUUUUUCCAGUUAUUACAGGUAUGAAUCGUGAUUAACUUGCUGCUGCCAAUGUUGUCUGUCUCCUCUGCUUCCCAGCCACCUCGGUAUCCAGUAUUUUGGGAUCACAUCUGAAACUGCCUGGCAAUUGCAGCUGUAUUGAUUGCAUGCCAAGUGAAUGAGAACUAUGGAUUUCUUCAAAGGGCACUCAGAAAGCUUCAGUUCAACACACGCAGUCACUAAUGCUGCAGCAGACAGAAGUUACAGGUUUAUCUGUUCAUGAGAUAAUAUUUCAUUUUAUAUUACUGUCUACAUAGGAGAGCAUCAAGGACUGUCAAAGUUUACCACGUACGUACUUUUAGGCACACAUGUUUUCUAUAUGGCCAAAAAGCACUCUUCCGUCCUCUUCACCCUUGAAGAAUUACUAAUAGCAAAAUACAUCCAAAGGCUGUGCUGGAGAAUUUCUGGUAAUAUAGGUCCUUGAGGUGCACCACACACCUAUGGCUAUAAAAGCCCUUAAAAUAUAGAGACCGCUUUGUGUGUUCACAUCCCUGCUUUGCAGUGUUCAUGUUGUGGUAACACAAGACAGCAACUGCCCUUUCAUUGCGCUAUAUAUUUUUUUUAACCUUCUAUGUUAAGUAAAUUGCAAUUAAAUAGGGAGGGUUUUUCUACAGUAUGGACCAAAUCCUCAACUUAUGUAAAUCACUGCUUAUAGCUUCCUUCAAGGCAAAGAGGUGACAUUAAUUUCUAUUUGUGAAGAACAUGAUUGCCUUUGUAUGUUAAGAAAAAUCAAAGGAAUAACAAUGUGCCGAUGAAGGCAUGAUUUGCUGGCAUCUCUGUAUAUCUAAGUGAAGAAUUUUUAUUCUCAGUAAUCCUUCUCCCCCCUCCAAAUCUCAAUUGCUAAUUGAAUUUUAAUGCAUUAGAAUCUCCUUUUUGACAUGCUUCCCCAGGAAGUGAAAAGGCUCAGGUAGAGAUGCACAUUUGUUAGCUAUUUCAGAGCUCUUCCAGAUGGUAUUUGAUCAAAGAGAAGUGAGUGACAGUAUCAUUUCAAGGUGCAGUAAGAGCUUCUCUCUCACGUGGACAGCUGCUUGUAAUGCACCAUCAUGAUCAAACAAAGUGCCUGUAGAUCUCUAAAUGCCUCUGCUGCACGAAGUUAAAGCAUUUGAACCUGCACAGGGUCUGUUUGGCAAAUGAGAAUGAGGUGCUCCGUGAAUCAAGAGGGACCUCUGUAAGCAGUAGUGGAUGUGUAACUGGCAGCAAAGCCUUUGUGGCAUGGAAGAGUAGGAACUGCAAGCCAAAAGCUCCAGGCAACUGGCAGACCUUGCCCCACCUACAGCUCUAAGAUGCAGCAGAGUUGCACAAAGUGUGGAAAAAACCCC